CUGCCUUAAGUAAACGCAAGGUACUGCAGCAGGAACUAACAGGAGAACUAAAUGUAGGGGUCACUACUUAUGCCACAAUCCACUCCAGAGGAUGAAGAAGACGGUAGGAGGCUUUGUGGAUGCAUAUUCAGACAGAGGAUGUCCCUCAUUCCAAGGAGUUUGUAUGCCAUCAAUAUCCAUGCCUCAGUGACCGAGAAAUAUUAUGCUAACCCACUCAAAAGCCAAAGCUGUUUAGAGCAGUUGUACCUACAGACAUGCAUUAGAGGUCCUUUUCUUUUCCAGUUCUGUUCCCUCAUCCCUAUUUAAGAAAAGCAGAAUUCUGUGAACAACUAUGACAGCCAGCAACCUGUCUCCUCAGCUGACUGCAUGGAGCUAUAUCAGCAAUUUGGCCCAGCAUCUAACCCAACACCUCAUGAAUCUCACCAAAAUAGAAGAUAGCAAUACAGAUGGAGUAAAAUAACAAUACAGAUGGAAGCAGUAUAUGUAUGUAAUUUGGGUUGAUAAAUGUUGCAAAAAUUUGGAGCACUAUUUAGUCUCACGCUCACAUAAAUGUACAUUCCUUGGCUUUGUGUUUUGUUGUGUGGAUUAAGUUAUAGCAGAUCUGUCUGGAACACCCGUUGAGGCUAAACAGUGGUGCUUCAUUGUUUAAUAUCAGCUGCCUUAUUAUGGGAAUUCAA